UAUAAAGCGUGUGGUAUUUUUCAUUAAAUUAUGCGGCAAAUGCAUGAACGCUCAGUGUCGCGCCUCGGAAUUUUCGGCGCGCCAAGUUGGCAGCGCGCAAGACGAGCGCCAUCUAGAUUCUGUUUCACUUGCAGGAAGCGGCGGAGCGGGGGCGGCUGGACUACGGAACGAGUGGCGUCGCGAAUCCGGCGAAUCCGAGGUAAACGAGACUUGUAUUUAACCUUGCGUUUAUCAUUAUUGUGGCAACAUCUAUCGCGUGAUAGACUUAGCGUUCGUACAUUGAUAAUCCGCCCCGGCGCGUAUUUCGCGAGACUCGUUCGGCCGCGGAUCUGUCGCGCGAGCAAUCGACAGGACGGCGAUUAUAUUCUUGAGUAUCUAUCCGCAAUUUCGUCUUGCGAAUUUCACUCGCAUUGUAACGUAAAGUCAAACAGAAAGACGAGCGUAUGCUAGUUUUCAUUUAAUGCGGAAAAUGCGUGAACGCGAAGUUAAGAGCAGAAUGCGCAGGUUGCAAACUCAUAGAGCGGAACGGUGUAGGCAGAAAAUCGCAGAACGACAGCUUCGACCAAUCACAUCGGGACACUCGUGAUUGGUCGAGGCUUCCGUUCCGCGAUUUUCUGCCUACACCGUUCCGCUCUAUGAGUUUGCACCCUCAGUGCCGCGCCGCGGCGUUUUUGGCGCGUAAAGUCGGCGUCAUCUCGAUUCUGUUUCACUUGCAGGACGCGGCGGAGCGCGGGCAGACGUACUUCGGUCUUCAGAACGAGUGGCGUCGCGAAUUCGAGGUAAGCAAGACCUAUAUAACUGCGUUCGUAGCUACGUCUAUGUCGCGUGAUAGACUGGCAUUCGUACGUUUGAUAAUCCGUCCCGGCGCGUAUUUCGCGAGGCUCGUUCGGCCGCGGAUCUGUCGCGCGAGCAAUCGACAGGACGGCGAUUAUAUUCUUGAGUAUCUAUCCGCAAUUUCGUCUUGCGAAUUCGCAUUGUAACGUAAAGUGAAACUGAAAGACGAGCGUAUGCUAGUUUUCAUUUAAUGCGGAAAAUGCGUGAGCGCGAAGGUAGGAGCACAACGCUCAGUGCCGCGCCGCGGCGUUUUUGGCGCGUAAAGUCGGCGCCAUCUUGAUUCUGGUGCACUUGCAGGACGCGGCGGAGCGGGGACAGACGUACUUCGGUCUUGAGAACGAGUGGCGUCGCGAAUCCGAGCGAAUGCAGACGUGAUUGUGCGAGUGCCACGAAGAAACGGCAAUGGAAAAAGAAAAGAGGAGAUGAACGAGAUGGCCAAGUACGACGUGUGACGGCGGAUCGCGAGAUUAGUGUUGUAACAUCGUUGCCUGCGUACUCGUGAUGAGAGUUAGGAGUUCUGACAACCUGUGAGGAGCUGAAGGAGAAGGUCUGACAGCUUGGAAGGAGAAGGAAGCCUAGGCCUAGAAGAGGCAUCGGGCGACGGCAGAACAACUUUGUGAAUCAUCGUAGCUUCCUGGCUGAUAAUUUAGCUGCUGCGCAUCGAUCGGUAAGUGACAAAAAGCUUAAUUAAUUCUGAAUUGUUUUAUAAUAAAAUUUGUGCACCAUUUGGUAUAAAAAGGUUUAUUAUGUCUUUUUAAAUGAUUGUGUAAUGUUAUAACUAAUAUUCGAAUACAGUUAUUAAUUUGCACAUUUAACUCACUUGAAUUACAGGUACAUGCAUUUUAUUAUUAAAUGUACUUGUUUCUGGCUACUGUUUGUUAUGAUUUAUUCUACUCUAUUAUUGUUAAAACUCUUUCUACAAUUUUUUCGUCCAUCGCGUAAUGCUCGUAAUUUCACAACUCGUGUUUGUAUCUAUCCCAACGUUAUUGGCUGUUACAAUCGGGCAU